AAAAACACAGCAAAUGAAUCAAACGGACCAGGGGUUAGUUAUAGCAGGCAAGAGUGUGGUUAUCGUUGGACCAGGAUUCAGGAUCUGACCGAGUAGCUGACUCUUAAUCCAGUUUGUGUUGAUCACCAGGAGGAUCUGGACCUCAGUGUUAUCAUAUCUAGAGGUGAUAUGCCAACUCCACCUUUGCCUUCCACCAUGUUUGGAAGCUCCCUGAGGCCUCACCAGGAGCAGAUGCUCAUCCCAUGCUUCCUAUAAGCCUGCAGAACUGUGAGCCAUAAUAAACUGUGAAUUAUAAAUUGCCUUUAUAGCAAUGCAAAUGGACCAGUACAGACGGGAUGCUGGGAAGACAGUUGUUCCACCUUCAGUAAAGUCCAUGAAACACAGUUGUGACUAUAUUCUAGGCCAGCAAAGAUGCUUGUAUUCAGAAAGGAGUGGUCUCAGGACCAUAGGAACGUGAAGAAAUAAAAAUAAGAAAAUAAAGAAGGGAUUGUCAAUGAAUCAAUUCAUCAAGGUCAAAGUCUUAGGAAAUUCAUGAGGAAGUCUAGGGGGGCUAUGGAAAUGAAAAUUUUUAAACAAAUAGGUAUGUGGUGCUGGCAAGAGUAAAUUAUGGACUUAUGAAUAUAACAUAAGAUUCUUUAUUACCUGGUCUUACCCGUCUUUCCACCUCUGCCCCCCUUCUUCCCCAACUCUAUGUGUCACCCAUAAUAAACUACUUACAGCUUCCUAGUGUUAAAUUUACCCUAA
rnacentral:antisense_RNA from 1 species